UACAGAGGUCCCGAGCGUUGUUCGGAUUCAUUGGGCGUAAAGGGUGCGUAGGCGGCGGGGUAAGUCUGAUGUGAAAUCCCGGGGCUCAACCCCGGAACUGCAUUGGAUACUGCCUUGCUAGAGUACUGGAGAGGGAACCGGAAUUUACGGUGUAGCAGUGAAAUGCGUAGAGAUCGUAAGGAAGGCCAGUGGCGAAGGCGAGUUCCUGGACAGUUACUGACGCUGAGGCACGAAGGCCAGGGGAGCAAACGGG
rnacentral:rRNA from 1 species